rfam:Mesocricetus auratus contig144818, whole genome shotgun sequence.
GAGGAGAUGGCUCAGUGGUUAAGAGCACUGGCUGCUUUUGCAGAGGACCUGGGUUCAGUUCCCAGUACCCACA